UGAUUUGCCUCCGUGUCACUCACGACCUAAUCCACAGGGGAGAGGUGGUGUGAGACGGAAAAAUAAACAGUGGCUCGAACAUCUCCCAACCUGUGUCGCAACUCACUGUGGCUUAAUCACAUUUUAUGGCCCAGGGAGCAACGCUUCAUGUCAGGCUGACUGCUGAGUGUCUCGCGUGUGUUUCCACAGCAGACAAUGGAGAGGUGACGGAUGCCAGGAGGACGGACGAGGCGGGGGCGGGAGGGGGUCACCGAAGGUAAAGCGCAAGAGGCCAAGACCCACCGACGACACCUGGAGGAAGUGUGAAAGGCUGAGAGCAGCGGGAAGUCCGGCCUAAUCCCAGAUGUCCCGUGGAGAUGGAUGGAAAGAAUGGAAAAGAAAAAGUGACGAAAGCAUCGGCCAUGCGCAUCGGAUAUAAACGUCAGCGGUUCCGCGGCGGAGUCACGAAGGCCCUCCUCCAAGUCAUGAGGUCUGCAAGCGGCCGUCUUGAGGACCAAUAAUUGCCACUCUGCAGAAUGCCCUCCAUCUCACCUUGACCAAUCGUGUGGAAUGGCCGUGAUCGUGUGUGAGAUACAGCAGCACAUUAAGCUGAUUUAUUGAGCCACUCUCUGGAGGGAAAAACUUCAGAUUUGUUUCGCCGCCUCCCUCGAUCUCAAGAUGCCGCGAGUUGUGUUCGCGUCCAGUUUCCUGCCUUCUGCAGCGGAGAGGUGAGAGUCC